CGAAAGCUUGAUGGAGCGACACAGCGUGCACGAUGAAGGUCUUCGGAUUGUAAAGUGCUGUUAUAGGGAAAGAACACCUGGUUGAGGAAAUGCUUCCAGGCUGACGGUACCCUGUCAGAAAGCGAUGGCUAACUAUGUGCCAGCAGCCGCGGUAAUACAUAGGUCGCAAGCGUUAUCCGGAAUUAUUGGGCGUAAAGCGUUCGUAGGCUGUUUAUUAAGUCUGGAGUCAAAUCCCAGGGCUCAACCCUGGCUCGCUUUGGAUACUGGUAAACUAGAGUUAGAUAGAGGUAAGCGGAAUUCCAUGUGAAGCGGUGAAAUGCGUAGAUAUAUGGAAGAACACCAAAGGCGAAGGCAGCUUACUGGGUCUAUACUGACGCUGAGGGACGAAAGCGUGGGGAGCAAACAGGAUUAGAUACCCUGGUAGUCCACGCCGUAAACGAUGAUCAUUAGUCGGUGGAGAGUUCACUGACGCAGCUAACGCAUUAAAUGAUCCGCCUGAGUAGUAUGCUCGCAAGAGUGAAACUUAAAGGAAUUGACGGGGACCCGCACAAGCGGUGGAGCAUGUGGUUUAAUUUGAAGAUACGCGGAGAACCUUACCCACUCUUGACAUCCUUCGCAAUGCUAUAGA
rnacentral:rRNA from 2 species